rnacentral:rRNA from 1 species
CUACGGGUUGCUCCAGUGAGGAAUUUUGCGCAAUGGGGGGAACCCUGACGCAGCAACGCCGUGUGAGUGAAGAAGGCCUUUGGGUCGUAAAGCUCUGUCAACUGGGAAGAAGUUACUAUGCUUAAAUAGAGUGUAGUAUUGACGGUACCAGUGGAGGAAGCGUCGGCUAACUCCGUGCCAGCAGCCGCGGUAACACGGGGGACGCAAGCGUUAUUCGGAAUUAUUGGGCGUAAAGGGCGCGUAGGCGGUCUUGUCGGUCAGGUGUGAAAGCCCGGGGCUCAACCCCGGACGUGCACUUGAAACAGCAAGACUUGAGUGCGGGAGAGGAAAGCGGAAUUCCUGGUGUAGAGGUGAAAUUCGUAGAUAUCAGGAGGAACACCGAUGGCGAAGGCAGCUUUCUGGACCGAAACUGACGCUGAGGCGCGAAGGCGUGGGUAGCAAACAGGAUUAGAUACCCCUGUAGUC